GCGCAGCAGGCGAGAAACUUCACACUGUGCGAAAGCACGAUGAGGGAAUCCCAAGUGCUUGCACGUAAGUGUAAGCUGUUUCUCUGUCUAAAACGCAGAGAGAGUAAGGGCUGGGUAAGACGGGUGCCAGCCGCCGCGGUAACACCGGCAGCCCAAGUGGUAGCCACGUUUAUUGGGUCUAAAGCGUCUGUAGCCGGCUGGGUAAGUUCCUUGGGAAGUUUGGCUGCUUAACAGUCAAGCUUUCAGGGAAUACUGCCCGGCUUGGGACCGGGAGAGGUCAGAGGUACUCCAGGGGUAGGGGUGAAAUCCAUUAAUCCUUGGGGGACCACCGGUAGCGAAGGCGUCUGACCAGACCGGGUCCGACGGUGAGGGACGAAGGCUAGGGGCGCGAACCGGAUUAGAUACCCGCGUAGU
rnacentral:rRNA from 1 species